ncrna:unclassified sequences DTF3800-VII RNA
CGCGGGUCUGCGCUGGGAGGCACUGUAGGUCGUCCGAACGGGCGGCAGCCGCGAAAUGCGGUGGGAUCCUACAGCCCGGGACCCGCGAUAAG